rnacentral:tRNA from 1 species
AUAUAAGAAAUGAUCCAUCAUAUAUGAUUUCGACUCAUAAAUAGGUAUUUAUAUACCCUUAUAUU